CAAAAACUGAGAUUUGAAGGGUGAAGGAGGAAAUGAAACAGUCGUUCCUAACCACCCCCAGGAGCGAGGCCGCGCCGCAUAGCCCUUCUGGGCCGUCUCCUGGCGGGGCUAGAAGAAGCUGCCGCGCGUGCGCGCCACGGAGCCUGGUGCUGGGACCCAGAGGCACCCUCGGCGCCGGAAGACGCGAACGACCCGGGCCGCGGUGGCGAGACGGGGCCGCGCGCCGCCUGGGGGGCUGGUGUGAGACCCGAGGCUCCGAUGGGAGGAGGUCUGGUCUGUCCACGGGGCCAGCAAAACACCUUCAUCCCAAUUUCAUCGCAUUCCUUCUAAGUAUCCGAAUUUGAAGAAAAAGCAAAACUGUUGAGUGGUCAGAUGGCCCCCACCUGGCGUUGCCGGUGAGCGGAACCCAGUGCUGGUUAUUUCUGGCUAGAGGCGCACCGAGGCCGGCCCUGGGUCUGGCCCUGGGGUGGCGCCACCAGGUUACUUGCCCACCGGUGAAGGAUGGCAGCUUUACAGCUCCCCGACGCAUCAGACUAAAGAACGUUGGCCAGGGUCUGCACCGGUGGUUCUCAAAGUACAGUCCCCAGAUCCGCAGCAUCAGCACCGCCUGAGAACUACUUAGAAAUGCACAUUCUCGGCCCUGGAUAGGCAGCUCUGGCAGUGGGGCCUAGCAGCGGGUGUUUAAACAAGCCACGGGUCUAGACGUUCCUUUCUGUUUCUAAAAGAGGCCUUGCUUUCCUAAGACAGUUGCUGUGAACCAGCUUUUUCCUUUUGCUGUCUUGCCCCUGCAAGUGUGAAAUAGAACUUUGACCCGUGCUCGAAAUUACUUUCUGAGAUUUUUUUUUGUUUUCACGUGUGGGUGGACGUGGGUACUCAGGGGCAUCAGCUUCCCAGCUACCUGUGGGAGCCCACCCCAAGGCCAAACUGGGUGUCCUAGAAAGAAAAUGGAGGCCCAGGCACCUGAUGUUAUCUUGUAUGGCUGGUGGGAACUGAGCCAGGACCCAAGGGGAGAAGUUGCAGGGAUGUAGAUCUAAAUUUUAAAAAUAAGAAAUAUCUAUCUAUUUGUGUCGUAGGAAAAUAGAAUAGUCAGUUUAGUGAGGUGGCGGGUUGCUGGACAGCAGAUGAAGGACCAUUGUGAGAUGUAUGCUUAGGUCUUGCUUGUUUUCUGGUUCUGCUGUUUUGAGGGGGAAGGGAAACUCAUAUUUAUGAACUACUGUGUGUUCUCUCUUAUUCAUUCAUUCUCUAAUUGGACAUUAAUUCCUAACCUCCCACUACGAGCCAGCAUUAUUUGCUCUUCAUAACAACCUUAUGAAGUACAUAUUAUUAUCCCCAUUUUAUACAUAACAGCCUUUCCAGGGUUGCAAGAAUUAAGCAUAAGCUAUGUCUGUUAGACAGCUAACAUUGCUACCUCCUAAAUGUUACUGUAAGUGAAAAGCUGUUGAGAUGUGUAGUCAAGACAGGUGUG
rnacentral:lncRNA from 10 species